AGGGCACCACCAGGAGUGGAGCCUGCGGCUUAAUUUGACUCAACACGGGAAAACUCACCCGGCCCGGACACUGGAAGGAUUGACAGAUUGAGAGCUCUUUCUUGAUUCAGUGGGUGGUGGUGCAUGGCCGUUCUUAGUUGGUGGAGUGAUUUGUCUGGUUAAUUCCGAUAACGAACGAGACUCUAGCCUAUUAAAUAGAUCGUUGGCUUACAAACGCCGGCGAGACUUCUUAGAGGGACAGGCGGCGAUUCAGCCGCACGAAACAGAGCAAUAACAGGUCUGUGAUGCCCUUAGAUGUCCGGGGCCGCACGCGCGCUACACUGAAGUGAUCAGCGUGCAUUUUGAAACCUACUCUGUCAAGAGUGGGGAACCCAAUGAACCUCCUUCGUGAUUGGGAUAGGGGAUUGUAAUUAUUCCCCUUGAACGAGGAAUUCCCAGUAAGCGCGAAUCAUAAGUUUGCGCUGAUUACGUCCCUGCCCUUUGUACACACCGCCCGUCGCUACUUCCGAUUGAAUGUUU
rnacentral:rRNA from 1 species